GGGGUCUAUCUACGACAUGCAUGGCUGUCCAUGAAUUGUAAAAGAAUGGUUGGAUGUGCAGGAUUUAAAAUUGAAAUAAUUCACACACCCAUUUUAAUUCCGUCUUUCAUGCAUAUGUGAUAUGUCUGGCACUCUGGCUAGGGUAAUAAUAAUGGAUCACGAUCUGGAUCAUGCAAAUGUUUCUUCAGAUUCGUUUGGUAUCUUAAUUAAUUUUAGUUGAAAAAUGAAUAAAAAUAGAGUCAGGUCCUAAUAGGAUCUGAUCCUUAAAUUUUAUACUAUAAAAUUUAUAGCACAUCAUCAUCCCUAUGCUGCAUGGCUAGUUAUUACUUAGUUCAAUGUCCA
rnacentral:lncRNA from 1 species